UGUAUAAUGGGUCAGCGACUUAUAUUCUGUAGCAAGGUUAACCGAAUAGGGGAGCCGAAGGGAAACCGAGUCUUAACUGGGCGUUAAGUUGCAGGGUAUAGACCCGAAACCCGGUGAUCUAGCCAUGGGCAGGUUGAAGGUUGGGUAACACUAACUGGAGGACCGAACCGACUAAUGUUGAAAAAUUAGCGGAUGACUUGUGGCUGGGGGUGAAAGGCCAAUCAAACCGGGAGAUAGCUGGUUCUCCCCGAAAGCUAUUUAGGUAGCGCCUCGUGAAUUCAUCUCCGGGGGUAGAGCACUGUUUCGGCAAGGGGGUCAUCCCGACUUACCAACCCGAUGCAAACUGCGAAUACCGGAGAAUGUUAUCACGGGAGACACACGGCGGGUGCUAACGUCCGUCGUGAAGAGGGAAACAACCCAGACCGCCAGCUAAGGUCCCAAAGUCAUGGUUAAGUGGGAAACGAUGUGGGAAGGCCCAGACAGCCAGGAUGUUGGCUUAGAAGCAGCCAUCAUUUAAAGAAAGCGUAAUAGCUCACUGGUCGAGUCGGCCUGCGCGGAAGAUGUAACGGGGCUAAACCAUGCACCGAAGCUGCGGCAGCGACGCUUAUGCGUUGUUGGGUAGGGGAGCGUUCUGUAAGCCUGC
rnacentral:rRNA from 1 species